AUUGAACGCUGGCGGCAGGCCUAACACAUGCAAGUCGAGCGGAUGAAGGGAGCUUGCUCCUGGAUUCAGCGGCGGACGGGUGAGUAAUGCCUAGGAAUCUGCCUGGUAGUGGGGGAUAACGUCCGGAAACGGGCGCUAAUACCGCAUACGUCCUGAGGGAGAAAGUGGGGGAUCUUCGGACCUCACGCUAUCAGAUGAGCCUAGGUCGGAUUAGCUAGUUGGUGGGGUAAAGGCCUACCAAGGCGACGAUCCGUAACUGGUCGGAGAGGAUGACGAGUCAAGCGGAAAUGAGGCACCGGGCCGAGCCCCACGGGGGGGCAGCAGGGGGGAAUUUGGGAAAAUGGGCGAAAGCCUGACCACCCCCUCCCGGUGGUGUAAAAAAGGUUUUCGGUUUGUAAAGCCCUUUAAGGGGGGAGGAAGGGAAUUAAGUUAAUACCUUGUGUUUUUGCCUUUACCAACAAAAAAAGCACCGGCAAAUUUGGU
rnacentral:rRNA from 1 species